rnacentral:rRNA from 1 species
UACGUAGGUGGCGAACGUUGUCCGGAUUCACUGGGCGUAAAGCGCGCGCAGGCGGAUUGGUCAGUCUGGGGUGAAAUCUCUCGGCUCAACUGAGAGAGGUCCCUGGAUACUGCCAGUCUUGAGGGGCUCAGAGGAGAGUGGAAUUCCGCGUGUAGUGGUGGAAUGCGCAGAUAUCAGGAGGAACACCGGUGGCGAAGGCGGGUCUCUGGGCAGUAACUGACGCUGAGGAGCGAAAGCGUGGGGAGCGAACAGU